AACGAACGCUGGCGGCAUGCCUAACACAUGCAAGUCGAACGAGACCUUCGGGUCUAGUGGCGCACGGGUGCGUAACGCGUGGGAACCUGCCUUUAGGUUCGGAAUAACUCAGAGAAAUUUGAGCUAAUACCGGAUGAUGUCUUCGGACCAAAGAUUUAUCGCCUUUAGAUGGGCCCGCGUUGGAUUAGCUAGUUGGUGGGGUAAAGGCCUACCAAGGCGACGAUCCAUAGCUGGUCUGAGAGGAUGAUCAGCCACACUGGGACUGAGACACGGCCCAGACUCCUACGGAAGGCAGAAGUGGGGAAGAUUGGACAAUGGGCGAAAGCCGGAUCCAGCAAUGCCGCGAGAGUGAUGAAGGCCUUAGGGUUGUAAAGCUCUUUUACCCGAGAUGAUAAUGACAGUAUCGGGAGAAUAAGCUCCGGCGAACUCCGU
rnacentral:rRNA from 1 species